AUAUUGUAUAUAUGUACCUCUUUCUGUAUUUGCAAGUUUACAUCGUUUGCAUUUUGUGAAUAGAAUACGAUCUUUUAUUUUUAACGUUGUCUGAAGGCAUUUAUGUGCAAACGUGUGAAUAAAACAGAACAGAAAGAAACCUUACCUAGAGCAAUGGUCAUUUUGACUGAUGAAAAAGCAAGCACUCAUUGUCUGGUCAAAUUCUGAUUGUCCCUUAGAGUGCCACAUAUCUGGAUUGUGUUCUAUGGAGCACUCCUAGACUAAAGUGCAGGUCAAAAUGUAAAUAUAAAAUGUAAAUAUAUUGUAACACUACAACACAACUUUCUUGCUUUUUCAAUAGGUUUUGAUAGCCUUUGCCAGUUAUUGAAAAGCAGCAGCUGGGAUAGUCGCCAUGAACAUUGAUAGGUUGUAUUGCUCGUCAUGUCUGAUUUGCGGAGUUUGUCUGCGGCAUUGGAGGCCUCAACUCCCCUACAAAAAGGAACAAUGAUAAAAAGCCUCACAGCAACAUCAACAUUGACACCAACAGCCAAGGACUCAUUUCGUAACAUUUAAUUCAUUGGGCAACACCUUCUAGGAAAACAGAAUAAUGCAGGCAGGACUCCGAACCUGGAUGUUCUAGGCCAACAUUUGGGGAGGGACCGCAUCAGCUGGGCUGUGCUUCUCCUUCCCCAUGAAAAAACUAUACAGUUUGCUUCAACAGACCUUGUAGAAUCAAACAUGGCAUAAUAACAAUGGGGGGCACAUUUACAAGAAACAUUUCUCCUAGGGACAGCAUCAAAAAAAUCCCAAGUCCAAAAUACGAGACAAUGUGGCGGUCCAGGCCGCGGCUAAUAUGUUCCACUAAGAGAGAAAAACGUCCAUAGAUGAAUCGUAGUAAUGACCAAGAAUACCGUAUAUACAGCAGAUGUACACAUAAAAGUAACACUCAGACAUUUGCAGUUAGUAGAUAGUACACUCACAUUAUCACAUUAUUUUGAUGUGUUUCGUAACAACCAUGUUGCGCAGCAUGAGAGAAAGAAAAAAAAAACAUUUUAUCAUGCACACAUAUAUAUAUAUAGUACUUUUUUUUUUAGCUGUGACUUAUUACUUAGACUAGUUAGUUCAGGCUGUUAACUGUCUUGAGAGUUGGUUAUUACUUGGUGGCCUUGAUGGUGGCAUCUGGAUUGCACGGGUGUGUUUCGUCAUUUGAAUAUUCCUUCACAUGUUGCCUGGUUUGAUUAUUGAGAGAAAGGAUGCUUGUCGGGAGUGAUUAUGCAAAAUCGCAGAAUUGGCAGCACACAGAAGCUUGCUGCAAGGUGCAAAUGCUGGUUUGGAGAACUGUCUUGACAUUGGUGGCAAGUAGGCUAUUGAGUUGUGUUCACUGAUACGAGAACAUGGCGUCAAAUGAAAACGAACUCUCGAUUUAUCUGUUUUUGCUAUGGGAAAUUUGCAGUGCAUUUUUGUUUUGGCCAUAUGCUUGAAACCUUGCAAACGGGUGCCAAAAGGUGAUGUCAGUGCUGUACAAAUUACAGUGUUAAUUACUGCUUGUACAAGAUCUACUACAGCUACAGGCGCGAGUAGUAUUUACAGUUUAUAUAACAGUUGUCCUCGAUGAGCUGAAGUCAAGUUCUUCACAGGCUUAAGUCAUGACACACGGAUGACAAAACACAGAAACAGCAAAGUUGCCUUCCUUGUCGCAACUGAGGUCUACAUGUUCCUGGACUGAUCUUGGCUUAGCGAGGAUGAGAUUUGCUUCUUUUGCUCUUGAGAAGGCAAGCUCUGAUAAGCCACUCGCAUCGCAUGCUCACAUCUGACCUAACACACCAUAUCCUUCCACUAGUGCUAGAUCUAUCACCAAGACAAGGCAGUUUAUCGCGCACUAACUGACCUUCGCUAUGGCUAGCUUGACAAAUAUGGUAACUAGUGGUUAACAUAGAUGAGAAGCAAGAAUUAACAAGACACACUUGACACUGCACGGAAAGCGCCUGACAAACAACUGUGCUGGGGUUCUGAUGCAGGGUUGGACACAAUGGAAUGUUUGCCGUGGAAUAAUGCUAUGCUAAAGCCACCGGUUUGUUUGUGCUUUGAUCACACUGAUGCAGAUUCUGCAUCGGGGUGCAGAAAGUGCUUCACCUGACAACAGUGCUUGCACCUGUUAAAUCAGUAAGAUUUGCUGUGGUUACUGUGGAAAGUGGGGAAAUGUUGUGGACGUACAUGUAUAUGAUGUGGAGUUGUAUGCUGUGUUAGACGAGUUGAGUUAGUAUAGUGUAUGAAAUGUUACUGGAAAUGCUUGAUGCAAAACUUGUGUGAUUGAGAGCACAAGUGAGUCCUGUGGCAGCAUGUUUCUUUUCCGUGGCUUUAUUAUCUUUUUUUUAUAUUCCAAUAUUGCAAGUGGUUUUGGAAACACAAACAGCAGCACAUAGAGCUUGACAGACUUGCCAACAAGAGUUCCAACAAUUUUUUUCUUUUUAGGAACUGGACUUUUCUGUUCACUACAACAUAAUGCAUGUGAAUCGUGAUUGUGGAAUUGCCGCCUAAGAAUUGAAAUGCUUGACAUACUGUCAUUUACAGAGAAACGAAUUGAAAAGGGGGCUAAUGGGCUUUUGUUAGGUGUAACAGCUGUGUGGCAUAUGGAACUCCCAAAGGACCACUGUCUGUAACUAUUCUUUUGGACGGCCCAAAAUGGUCCAUUUUUAGAGAGAAGUCUCUAAGUGACGGUAAUGACUUGCUCGGAAUAUUGUCAUUUUGUGUUUUACUAUUUCCUAGACCUCUUCCUAAACAUUUUUGAAAGCUUUAUAGCUUUAAGCUACAUUCUGCAGCAUUGGUUCAACAGUCAGAAUGUGGAAAAGGAGAGCAACACCCGAUUUUCUAAAACGGUACAUGAAUAUGUAGCUUUGCAUAGAAUAGCAGCUUUGAUGUCUCCACCCAGAUGACCCAGCAAUAAGCUCUUCGGUAUUACAAACGUGGACGCAUAUAUCGCUUUUAGGAGCGAAGUGUUCAAUUAACUUAGCCAAUUGAUGUUCUUUGAGGCAUUUUCAGGACUUUUUUCGCUAAAUUACAAACACUGCCACAUACGUUUUGCAGCUUCUGAUACACGGACAACGUCACGGGCGCUUUUUGUUCGUCGCGUGACUUCAACACCUAAAUUACGAGUGGCAUCAGCGACGUCACGACUGAAAACCUUUGUGCUACGAGCUACAUCCUCUUACAUUGGCAAGUCUGGCUCAACUCGCGGCACGUCAGUGCAGGGGUUAACGAGACGAAGAAAACGCAACGUCAUCAACGAAUACAACACGCCAGCAGAAGCCGAGAUACGUAAGUGGGGCGGGACAGAGGGCCGGCCAUCUAACCGACGACUACAAUACGCCGUCUUCCAGCACCCGGAAGCCUGCGCGCGGUAGAAGCGGAUAUUGUAGCGAGAGCGAGAUUGAAAGACUUGUGGGUCGUGUGUACGUGUCCUCUCCGCGAGCCGACGGGGCGGGUUGCCGCUCGUCGCGGAGCACUGCCACUGAGACACGGGACUGCAGCGGCCCCGGACCGGAUCGGAGCAGUCGGUUCGAAACCGCGAGACGCCGGUUUUUUUUUUUUAUCCGGACCGAGAGCCUGCAGCGCCCGUUCGAUGAUUACAUGUUUCACAAUCACACCGCUACCUACACAGCUUUGGUCUACGAACACUAUUAGUACGGGAGGCGCGGUGCGCAACCUGGGCUCACGGACGUGUGCGGCCUCCGCCAGUUCUAGCUCUUUUACACAGCAUGGCUCAUUACGCCGACUUGCGCGUGAACAACUAAUGAUAAGAAUUCCACCGAAGGUUCAAAGGAAAACCCGUACGCAGCAGCCUGCGAGGCCGAUGAGACUGCCGCAGUCACGUGGUCACUUUCUAUGUCCGUUGAUUUUGAAAUCGAAGAUCACUGAAGUCCGCGAGCUCCAUUGGCUCCCGUCCGCGAGCUCGAACGAGGGAGCCAAUUAGGCAAGCGCGAAUUUCAAUGGCUUUGGGUUCAGUGGUCGUUGAAAGAGAUUGUACGCGUGACUGCUUCAGGCGCAGACGCCGGCGUUGUCGCGAGGCUCGUGCGGCCCGACCAUAUGUUUGAAUGAAGCUAGCAGCGAAUAUUUAAUGCAAUGUCUUCCGCGUGUUGUAAGCCUUUUCACAGCAUCAGCAGUUAUGGAAGCCACGUUAUCAGCUUACGUACGUCUCACUGGCGCUGACUGCUAUACGGAACGGAAGGACACUGCGAACGUGAAGUACGUGCUUCCCGGAUUGCGCCACGUCGCCCCGUUAUAAUCUACAACCUGCCGCUGGCGUUCUCGAGCGGAUUCCACGAGGGUCCUUCCUCCUCGCGCGGAGGCUCUGCCCACGGCUGCUUCUCUCCCGAUGCGAAGAUGCCGUAGAAGAUGACGCCACCGAAGUGGAUCAGGCUCGCGAUCAGGAACACUUUCUCCCAGCGGGACGCGUCGUCACCGCCGUGGAUCUGGAACGAUGCCACCAAAUACUCGGAUAAGCCAAGCAAGCUCUUUCUGCAUAUAGACUGACACGUGCUGCCUUCGUCCUAUUGGCCGUGUGUUAUGCUGAGCGCUGCACCCUCCUGGAGACCACUUCCCUUGUGAGUGCCCGCUGUACACGCAAGAGACGCAGUCAGUGACUCCAUGUUCAGCACUUAUUGACAGCUGGCCAUUUUCGGAGCCCAUUGUCUUGGUUCGUAGUCAAAGUACUGUACCCAUCAGGAGAUGAAGGCCGCCGGGAAUUUUUCAAUGUAGCGAAGCCGAUGUUAGAUUUUAAGGAGUGUUGCCAAUUGUUUUUGUUUUGUUUUUAGUCGCGUGAAUGAGAUUCUCUCUCCUGGUCGUCGUCGUCGUUCGACCCUUUACGCUUGUUUUACCUUUACCAUAACGCUCAGUAUUUGGAUCG